CCAUAAAAGCGGCGUGAUGGACGAGGGGCGGGGGCGUUCGGCCCGUGCGGCAGGGACUCCUGGGAAAUGCCGCGCAGAGCCGUGAAAGCGGCUGGUGGACGAGAGAGAUUCUAGGUUCGUGAGGCGGAGGCCGGGAAAUGCGCGGUGCAAGAGCGCUGGAUCCACAAGCUUCAUUCUGACGGCGCUUCUCCACACUGGCCGGGGUGGUUCUUUCCGAGAGCAGCAGCCAAGCCCAGUCUGCGACUUCCCCAGCACGGGCAGAACCAGCUUUGAAGUGGCAGCUGCGGGGCUCCAAGUCCCACCCAGGACCUCCCCGCACGCGCUCUGUCCGUGAACACUACGGACCGUUUUACACAGGAAUGUCCACUGCAGGAACGACUGAGGAAAUCCACAGAAGCAGCACUCGAGCUCAAUUCCUGGCAAGGAUUAGGUCAUUCCGCAUUUGACUUGGCCUCGGUGGCCUUCACCAGAGGACAGCAUUCUGAUCAGAGUACUUGUGUAGGUAAAAAUGGACUCUGAAUCAAAUGAAGACCCAGCUUUUGGGGAAGAUACUACAUCACUGAACUGAUCCUUCCUCGAUCUCGGGAAGCACUGAGCCUAGCACACACAAGAGAAACGCUGUGCGAACAAGAACAUUCUCCAAAUUCAAGUUCAGAUUUUGCUACCAUCAGACAUCAUGGUUAUAAAACUAGACUUAUCACCAAAUUACC